rnacentral:misc_RNA from 1 species
GUUAUACUUAUAUGGUUGGCCAAUUCAUUAUCACAGUAGAUGGUUUCACCACUUUCUUGAUUUACAUGACAUGAAUAGCCAAACAAAAAUACAUUCUAAUGAUAAAUUACUCCAUUAGAAAUACAUUUGUGAUCCUUUCUUUUUUAAUCACUGAUAAGAAUAAAUAUCUUGUGAUGUGGAGUGUGUUAGUGAUAAAUUUAUUGGAAAAUAGGAGAAGGUUCAAAGAAGAAAACA